rnacentral:lncRNA from 14 species
GUUUUGGCUUUGUGAGCUUGAAAAUCUGCAGUUUUGAUUCACAGCAAAGAAAAUUGAAGUUGGAAGUUUGCACAUGAACCAUAACAGUGCUGGUGAUUUAAAGGACAUCUGUCUUGGGACGAUACACCUUGAUGGCUGACUCCAAAUGACUGUCCCCAUCAGAAAAUUUUCAGAGCAGACCAUGGAAAAUAGAUGAAAUGCUGAAGCUGCAGAAGGAGUCUCACAGGAUACAUGCCCAGGUGUGACUGAAGAGGAGAGCAGCACCCUGCCACCAGGACCUGGUGAACUUGCAUCCUUGCUGCGCUUCUGCCAUACCAUCACUGUGCUGGAGCAAAGCAUCCUCCUCUGCUGUGUGAGGGAUCCUGCUUUCUCCUGGCCUCAAGACAUCACCAGGCUUCUCCCAGGGCUCCAUGACAUGUAUAUGCAACUCUAUCCCACUCCCCAUGUUGCUGGAGUCUGCCUCUCAGCACUGUUUGUUACUCCUUUGGCAGCACAGUCUCCACUUCACUCAGUAUCAUUAUUUCUGGCAGAGUUAGCCCUCUGGAUUAUGGUAAUGUUAACAAGCAGGACUUUGAAAGAUGAUCAGGUCCAUGGAAGGAAAAGAGAAUAA